UACGAAGGGGGCUAGCGUUGUUCGGAAUUACUGGGCGUAAAGGGCGCGUAGGCGGCGUGUCAAGUCAGGCGUGAAAGCCCCGGGCUCAACCUGGGAACCGCGCUUGAGACUGGCAUGCUCGAGUUCGGGAGAGGAUGGUGGAAUUCCCAGUGUAGAGGUGAAAUUCGUAGAUAUUGGGAAGAACACCGAUGGGCGAAGGCAGCCAUCUGGACCGACACUGACGCUGAGGCGCGAAAGCGUGGGGAGCAAACAGG
rnacentral:rRNA from 1 species